AUAAAUAAUAAUAAUAAUAAUAACAGUGUUUGCGCAGAAAAAAAGGUAAUACACUGACGAAGGAAUGAAUUCACUUUAAAGGAAUGGCUUAUCCAAAAGUGAACAUUUGCUGAAUCCAAGAUGUGGAUGAGUUUGUUUCUUCAUAGGAACAGAUUUGGAGAAAUUCAGCAUUGCAUGAGUUGCUCAUCAGUGGAUCCUCUGCAAUGAAUGGGUGCCGUCAGACUGAGAGUCCAAACAGCUGAUAAAAACAUCACAAUAAUCCACAAGUAAUCCACACAUGAAAAGUCAUCUCUUCUGAAUCAAGAGAGAAAUAUGCACAAGAUCAAGCACCAUUUAGGCUACAAGCAAAAACAGUUCUGAACUAAUAUGUCAAUCAGUUUUGAUGUGAGAAGACAACAGGGGAUGGACUUUUUUUUUUUUUUUUUACUGAAGGAAUAUUUAUUAUGGUUAAGGACUUAAGGUUAAGGUUUAAAGUUAAAAUACCUUAAUGAUGGAUUUGUUUCUUACAGGUACAUAACUGUUCACUUCACAAAAUGUUAACUGAUGGACUGGAGUGGUGUGGAUUACUGUGAUGUUUUUAUCAGCUGUUUGGACUCUCAUUCUGACGGCACCCAUUCACUGCAGAGGAUCCAUUGUGCUGUAUGGAUUGCAUUGUAAAAGGAUCCAUCUGUACUCAGGCUGGAGGAGGAGAGAAGAGGCUCAAGGGAAUGCUCUGCAGCCAUAUGUCCUCCUUACUGGCCCCCAUUAGACCUGACAGGUGAUAUAUGGUGCACACAGGAAAAACAAACUACUCAGCAAAAGCCGGCAGACAUUGAUAAACGAAGGCAUGGUGACACAGAUACUGUGGGCUCAUCGUGGCCGAGCUUGGGGAUUUCUCCUGCAAAAUGCCACUUCAAUUUCUGUCCACAGUAUCCAACCCAAUUAGGGCAGAAGAUUCACAAUGUAGUGUCUAUUUAAACACACAUCAACAUCCCAAAGUCCACUUCCAAGAUGUUUGAUCUAUUUUAUCCCACUAGAUUAUUCCUUUCCAAGGUCAUUUGUAUGCAUGAAAUUAAAAUGAUCUCAAAAUAUAUCUCUCCCUCUCUGCUAGAAUCAUCCACCUUUUUAUCUUGAUCUUGGAGUGGUUAAAUAUCACAAAGACAUGUUCAGGUCACAUUUCAUACCUAUAAAUAAAUAAAUAUUCACAAUAUGCUGUGUAUACAGAAAAUUAGGCCUAGUUAAAGGAUCUAAUAUUAUUUAUAGAGUGACUUCAAGCACAUUUCAUCCCAAAUUCUAAUUGUUCUCAAUACAUUCUUAUUACUGUAAUACAAAAUAAAAAUGACAAAAUACAAUGAUUAAAACAAACAAAUAAAUAAAUAAAUAUAAUGAGUUCCCUUUAGAAUGGGAAUUCGCAUGGCGUCUGACAAGAUGUGACACUGUCAUUGGUCAAUGACAGUCUGUAAUGUCAGUACCAGGCCGACAGUCAGUUUAAAUGAGUGCGUGCAGCACGCAAUUAGCCUUUUUUUUUUUCAGAAAACAUGUAUGCGUGUGACAAACGCUACUGGUGGAGCACGUUCAACUUCUUGAGGAAGCUAAGUGCUAACUAUUGUAAUAAAAACUGCUAAGAAGCUUUUGUUCUUCCUUGAUUCUCACCCGAGGGAUAGUAGUCAGCAUUUGCACUUGCACGUUUGGUUCUCAAAGCGAUGUAUUCAUGGCAGCAGAUUCUGUUCUCGCCUUGUUUUUGGGAGAACCUAGCAAUUAAAUGGAGGGAAUUCGGCUCUCUCGAGAGAGAGUUGAAUGCAUGCUGUAUGAUGCGAUUGCUGUGAGAAGCUCCACCUAUGCUUAACUUUCUCUUGAGGGUUGAGACUUAAGCGCCUCCUUCCCAAAGUUCGAGUCCCACUGUCACCAGAGGAGAGAUAAAAAAACAGGGAUUGUAGGUGGAGCAGAGGAGGAGUAGGACGGGAAGUGCUUUCCCUUUCAGAACUCUUCCUGUUAACUUGAAUUCUUUCAUAUCGAUUUAUUAAAGAAGGAAAGAAACUUUGUAAUUUUGAAUAUCUAAUUCUGAGGCAUUAGAUGCAGAAAGAGUUGAAGCAUAUAUUAUUGAUAAAUUAGCCCCCUCUAUGAAAGUAAAAGAAACCGACUUGGGCAAGCUGCUGGAUCCAGAUGUUCUUUCUUUGACAUGCUCUACUGGCGUCAACCCAGAAGGAGCGGGAUGUGGCUGAGGAGGGCAAAGAAACAAUGGACUCCUCCCAACCAGCCCAUCCCGCUUAUAAGUAGCGGUUUCUGUCUGUACAAAACCACCCUGUUACCAUGAGUCUGAGUUGGAGAGAUCAUAAAAUAAACUAUAUUUGGCCCACAUUCAUUUG
rnacentral:lncRNA from 12 species